GGAAUUGACGGGGGCCCGCACAAGCAGUGGAGUAUGUGGUUUAAUUCGAAGCAACGCGAAGAACCUUACCAGGUCUUGACAUCCAACUAACGAAGCAGAGAUGCAUCAGGUGCCCUUCGGGGAAAGUUGAGACAGGUGGUGCAUGGUUGUCGUCAGCUCGUGUCGUGAGAUGUUGGGUUAAGUCCCGCAACGAGCGCAACCCUUGUGAUUAGUUGCUACGCAAGAGCACUCUAAUCAGACUGCCGUUGACAAAACGGAGGAAGGUGGGGACGACGUCAAAUCAUCAUGCCCUUUAUGACCUGGGCUACACACGUACUACAAUGGCUGUUAACAAAGGGAAGCAAUACCGCGAGGUGGAGCAAACCUAAAAACAGUCUCAGUUCGGAUCGAGGCUGCAACCCGCCUACGUGAAGUUGGAAUUGCUAGUAAUCGCGGAUCAUCAUGCCGCGGUGAAUACGUUCCCGGGCCUUGUACACACCGCCCGUCACACCAUGGGAGCCGGUAAUACCCGAAGUCAGUAGUCUAACCGCAAGGAGGACGCUGCCGAAGGUAGGAUUGGCGACUGGGGUGAAGUCGUAACAAGGUAGCCGUAUCGGAAGGUGCGGCUGGAUCACCUCCUUUAUG
rnacentral:rRNA from 1 species